AUACGUAGGUGGCAAGCGUUGUCCGGAAUUAUUGGGCGUAAAGCGCGCGCAGGUGGUUCCUUAAGUCUGAUGUGAAAGCCCCCGGCUCAACCGGGGAGGGUCAUUGGAAACUGGGGGACUUGAGUGCAGAAGAGGAUAGUGGAAUUCCAAGUGUAGCGGUGAAAUGCGUAGAGAUUUGGAGGAACACCAGUGGCGAAGGCGACUGUCUGGUCUGUAACUGACACUGAGGCGCGAAAGCGUGGGGAGCAAACAGGAUUAGAUACCCUGGUAGUCCACGCCGUAAACGAUGAGUGCUGAGUGUUGGGGGGUUUCCGCCCCUCAGUGCUGCAGCUAACGCAUUAAGCACUCCGCCUGGGGAGUACGGUCGCAAGACUGAAACUCAAAUGAAUUGGCGGGG
rnacentral:rRNA from 1 species